rnacentral:tRNA from 1 species
GCCGUUAUAGCUCAGUUGGUAGAGCGCAUCCAUGGUAAGGAUGAGGUCAACAGUUCAAUUCUGUUUAACGGCUCCA